UUUCAGAGGUGCUGGGUGCUU
rnacentral:miRNA from 1 species